GACGAACGCUGGCGGCGUGCUUAACACAUGCAAGUCGAACGGAAAGGCCCUGCUUUUGUGGGGUGCUUGAGUGGCGAACGGGUGAGUAACACGAGAGUAACCUGCCCUUGACUUUGGGAUAACUUCAGGAAACUGGGGCUAAUACCGGAUAGGAGCUCCUGCUGCAUGGUGGGGGUUGGAAAGUUUCGGCGGUAGGGGAUGGACUCGCGGCUUAUCAGCUUGUUGGUGGGGUAGUGGCUUACCAAGGCUUUGACGGGUAGCCGGCCUGAGAGGGUGAACGGCCACCUGGGGACUGCGAUACGGCCCAGACGCCUACGGGAGGCAGCAGUGGGGAGCAUUGCCCAGUGGUCGCAAGCCUGAUGCAGCAACGCCGGGUUCGGGAUGACGGCCUUCGGGUUGUAAACCGCUUUCGCCUGUGACGAAGCGUGAGUGACGGUAAUGGGUAAAGAAGCACCGGCUAACUACGUG
rnacentral:rRNA from 1 species